rnacentral:rRNA from 1 species
AUUGAACGCUGGCGGCAGGCCUAACACAUGCAAGUCGAGCGGUAGAGAGAAGCUUGCUUCUCUUGAGAGCGGCGGACGGGUGAGUAAUGCCUAGGAAUCUGCCUAGUGGUGGGGGAUAACGUUCGGAAACGGACGCUAAUACCGCAUACGUCCUACGGGAGAAAGCGGGGGAUCUUCGGACCUCGCGCCAUUAGAUGAGCCUAGGUCGGAUUAGCUAGUUGGUGAGGUAAUGGCUCACCAAGGCAACGAUCCGUAACUGGUCUGAGAGGAUGAUCAGUCACACUGGAACUGAGACACGGUCCAGACUCCUACGGGAGGCAGCAGUGGGGAAUAUUGGACAAUGGGCGAAAGCCUGAUCCAGCCAUGCCGCGUGUGUGAAGAAGGUCUUCGGAUUGUAAAGCACUUUAAGUUGGGAGGAA